CGCAUGCGCGGUCUGCCUCCCGCGGCGGGCCGGGUCUCCAGGGAGGACCUGAGUUUUCUUCACCCAUGGUCAGGGAGGCGCCAUCGCCCUGGCUUUGGGGCUGGGGCCUCCGGGGAGGUUCCGGUAGGGGCGUUGGAGAGGCCGCCCUUUUUGCAAGGCCCGAGACGGCGGGACCUGCACAAGCCGCCCUAUUCCAUGCCCUCAGGGCGUCAGUAUCCGCCUCAGGCCAGAUAACCCCUCUGGGCCCCGGGUGCCCCCGCUGGGCCCGGAGCAUCCUCGGCGCUGCCCUCCCAGAGCCCCGCAGAGGCUGAGGUGGCACGGGUUGGAGGGCCUGGCUCUGCGAGAAGCGGCGGCAGCGAGGGCUGGAGGACCCGGGCUACGUGGCUCUGGGGCGUCUGGCCUGGGUGGGACUGAGCCCAUCCAGGGACUGGGACUCCGGGGUUCUGGUGUAGGUGGAUCCGGGGCAGGCUCAGGACCAAGUCCCUCUCCUUCCACCAAGGAGCACCCAGAGGCCGGCGGGAGCUCCAGGUUCACCUCCUCUUCCUCCAGGAAAUCCCACUUCCAACUGGAUGUCUGGAUGAACUACUGAAAGCUGCUGAGUGUCCUGCAGCAGCUUGACUACCACACAAAUGAAUCCAUUCAAAUGUUGGCAAGUGGAGCAGAGUCCCAGGACAGGUACAGAAACACCCCCAGUUCAAGGAUCUUCACACCUGGAUUUAGGCCUACACCUGCAACUACCCCACAACCUGGAAUUUAUAUGUUCAAGAUGGAGCCAUCUCAGCCAUGACAACAGAGAAUGUACCACUCUCAGGGGGUAAUAUUAAGUUCCAGAAGGCAAAGAUUAACAUUCAGAAAAAUAGGAAAAACAACCUGCAGAAUUACUAUGAAUUAUUAUAUUGUGGCUACUUACACCAAGAUGAAGAUAAUUUAUUAGUUCAGGAAGGAUCUGCAUUCUGAAGGCAAAUAGAAGUUCCAGCUACAGAUGGGCAGACGCAUGCCCUCUCAAUUUCUGAGGGACCUCCUAGUGCCUCCUGGACCUAAGGGGCCUCCCUCAAUGUUUCAAGAUGCCACCAAGGCAGGGAUCAGCUCGUGCAUUCCUGAGAACAUUCAUGAUGAAGUGAGGCUCUGGAAAAAUGCAAGAGUUUCCACAUAAUCCCAAAAAACCCUACAGGUGAACUGGAUGCCACAGAAAGAGGAGUGGUCUUUGACACAAUAAAAUCAACAAAAUUAUUUCAAAGUCAAUUAGGAAACUCAGAAAUCACGCUUGCUGCCAUUAAGAGGAAGAACAGGAGCCUGUGAAUGGCAUCCUUGGCCUUCCCGAGACUCUACAGAUAUUUCUAUGUGGCUUCAGACACCAGAAAUCUCUGUGAUUUUCAGAAAGGCAGGGACAGCUCCUGCCAGCCCAUCCCUCUGCAGAAUGUGUCCCAGCAGACCAGGGUGCUGGAGCAGCCCCGCUGGAAGCGAUGCAGCAUCGGCGAAGCCUGGGGUAGGGCCAGGAUAAGCGACGUUGGGGCAGGUCCUGGGGAGAGUCCAGGUUGGCGGUUCCUGGGGCGGGGCCAGGAUAGGGCGAUCCUGGAAGCUGGGCUUCGGAAGCGUGCAGCUUUCCCUCUGUCCCCCAGCCUUUGGACUGUCACCAAACAAGCCAUUCGUUCACCAAAUACUUUUUAAGCGCCUACCAUGUGCCUGACAAGGGAUAUGUAACGGUGAGAAAAACUAGGUGUGGUCCAGGCCCUUCAGGGACUCAGGGGCUCGUGGAAGAAGUGGAUAUUGAAGUACUUAUCACACAAAGGAGGAUAAAAGUACGAUAGCGAUAUCUACCACGAAGCUGUUGUUCCACACCAGAACCAAAUGAGCGCAAGAUCUGACAAAAAAAAAAGUCCCUGUAUCCUGAGAUGGAGUCACCUGAGAAUCCACAGCAAGUCCUAACCAGGGAUGGGUCUGGGUGAUUAAGGAAGAUUGGCUUCAGAACUGGGCCAGGGGCACUGCUUUGCUUUUGCUGUUUUGAUCAGCUCUCUGCCUGCAGGAGACGAGGAAAACCAAUGGGAACAGCUGGGGAAACUGAGUUACAGAGCUUUUCUGCACUGAUAGGGUCUCUCUCUCUGCCACUCAGGCCAGAGUGCAGUUGACGCAGAGCAGGGGAGCCCUGAAAUGGAGCAUAGUGUGUCCGGAACUGGUGGGUUCUUGGUCUCACUGACUUCAAGAAUGAAGCUGCGGAC
rnacentral:lncRNA from 1 species